CUGGCUCAGGAUGAACGCUGGCGGCGUGCCUAAUACAUGCAAGUCGAGCGAACAGAUAAGGAGCUUGCUCCUUUGACGUUAGCGGCGGACGGGUGAGUAACACGUGGGUAACCUACCUAUAAGACUGGGAUAACUUCGGGAAACCGGAGCUAAUACCGGAUAAUAUUUCGAACCGCAUGGUUCGAUAGUGAAAGAUGGUUUUGCUAUCACUUAUAGAUGGACCCGCGCCGUAUUAGCUAGUUGGUAAGGUAACGGCUUACCAAGGCGACGAUACGUAGCCGACCUGAGAGGGUGAUCGGCCACACUGGAACUGAGACACGGUCCAGACUCCUACGGGAGGCAGCAGUAGGGAAUCUUCCGCAAUGGGCGAAAGCCUGACGGAGCAACGCCGCGUGAGUGAUGAAGGUCUUCGGAUCGUAAAACUCUGUUAUUAGGGAAGAACAUACGUGUAAGUAACUGUGCACGUCUUGACGGUACCUAAUCAGAAAGCCACGGCUAACUACGUGCCAGCAGCCG
rnacentral:rRNA from 1 species